GCCAAGUUAGUAAGGGCGCACGGUGGAUGCCUUGGCACCAGGAGCCGAUGAAGGACGUGGGAGGCUGCGAUAUGCCUCGGGGAGCUGUCAACCGAGCUGUGAUCCGAGGAUUUCCGAAUGGGGAAACCCGGCAGGGCUUUAAAUCCUGUCACCCAUGCCUGAACACAUAGGGCAUGUGGAGGGAACGCGGGGAAGUGAAACAUCUCAUUACCCGCAGGAAGAGAAAACAACCGUGAUUCCGCGAGUAGUGGUGAGCGAAAGCGGAUGAGGCUAAACCAGUGUCGUGUGAUAGCCGGCAGGCGUUGCGAUGGUGGGGUUGUGGGAUCGUCCGGACGGGACUGCCGUUCCGUCGGGGAGUCAGAAAGAGCGCUGUUAGGCGAAGGUCAUGCGAAUGGGCCGCCAUAGAGGGUAAUAGCCCUGUAGCUGAAAACAGUGUUCCUCCCGGACGUGUUCCCAAGUAGCACGGAGCCCGUGAAAUUCCGUGUGAAUCUGGCGGGACCACCCGCUAAGCCUAAAUACUCCCUGGUGACCGAUAGCGGACUAGUACCGUGAGGGAAAGGUGAAAAGUACCCCGGGAGGGGAGUGAAAUAGUACCUGAAACCGUGUGCCUACAAUCCGUGGGAGCUGGACUUCGGUCUGGUGACCGCGUGCCUUUUGAAGAAUGAGCCUGCGAGUUUGCGAUGUGUGGCGAGGUUAACCCGUGUGGGGUAGCCGUAGCGAAAGCGAGUCCGAAUAGGGCGUUUGAGUCGCAUGUCCAAGACCCGAAGCCGAGUGAUCUAUCCAUGGCCAGGUUGAAGCGCGGGUAAGACCGUGUGGAGGACCGAACCCACCAGGGUUGAAAACCUGGGGGAUGAGCUGUGGAUAGGGGUGAAAGGCCAAUCAAACUCGGUGAUAGCUGGUUCUCCCCGAAAUGCAUUUAGGUGCAGCGUCGCAUGUUUCUUGCCGGAGGUAGAGCACUGGAUGGCCUAGGGGGCCCACAAGCUUACUGAAGUCAGCCAAACUCCGAAUGCCGGUAAGUGAAGUGCGGCAGUGAGACUGCGGGGGAUAAGCUUCGUAGUCGAGAGGGAAACAGCCCAGAUCGCCAGCUAAGGCCCCUAAGCGUGCGCUAAGUGGAAAAGGAUGUGGAGUCGCACAGACAACCAGGAGGUUGGCUUAGAAGCAGCCAUCCUUGAAAGAGUGCGUAAUAGCUCACUGGUCAAGUGAUUCCGCGCCGACAAUGUAGCGGGGCUCAAGCGCACCGCCGAAGCUGCGGCAUACGCAUGUUAGCCAGGCAUCUUUGCGGGUGUCCAGGUGUGUGUAUGGGUAGGGGAGCGUCGUGUGGCGUGUGAAGCGGCGGGGUGACCUAGUCGUGGAUGCCAUACGAGUGAGAAUGCAGGCAUGAGUAGCGAAUGACGGGUGAGAAACCCGUCCGCCGAAUGACCAAGGGUUCCUGGGGCAGGCUAAUCCGCCCAGGGUGAGUCGGGACCUAAGGCGAGGCCGACAGGCGUAGUCGAUGGACAACGGGUUGAUAUUCCCGUACCGGCGCUGACGCGCCCA
rnacentral:rRNA from 1 species